UACGUAGGGGGGCAAGCGUUGUCCGGAAUCAUUGGGCGUAAAGAGCGUGUAGGCGGUCCGGUAAGUCCGCUGUGAAAGUCGGGGGCUCAACCCUCGAAUGCCGGUGGAUACUGUCGGGCUAGAGUGCGGGAAGAGGCGAGUGGAAUUCCUGGUGUAGCGGUGAAAUGCGCAGAUAUCAGGAGGAACACCUAUUGCGAAGGCAGCUCGCUGGGACGUAACUGACGCUGAGACGCGAAAAGCGUGGGGAGCAAACAGG
rnacentral:rRNA from 1 species